AUGAGUUCGGUUCUCUAGUUGAUUUAUUGAAUACAUUUCCUAUCUCUUUAUGAAUUGUUAAGGUAUUGCUUACUUGUACAUUUUGUAUCUCUCUCAACAAAAAUUGUGACAUUACUAAUUUACUAGGAUUGGAUAUUUUUUUUUUAGUAAUUUAAUGUGUGUCAAAAUUGAGGUUUGAGUUUUUAAGAAGGUAUUAAACACUCCAGGCCAGAGUCAUGCUGAAGUUUAGCAAUAUUUUCUUAUCUUGUGUUGGUAUGAAUUCAGUGUAUUUGAAGCUGUCCUUUCAUUGAUUUUGGAGGAUUAUUUAAAUGGGUUGGAGAUCCAAUACUGACACUUAAUACAGGGUUUUACAGAAGAAUUAUUAUUUUUCUUGAUUUAUUAUGCUUUAAAUUGUAUUCGUAUUACUAUGUAGCUAUACUUCCAUGUAGCUAUUUGCCGUACAGAAUUGUAGGAGAUUUUUAAUGUUUGAUGUUUGAAUAGUAGAAUCCUCAAUAGUAAGUAUGUUUUUGUAGCAGACUGACAUCCUCCAGAUGGGGUUGACUUAGGUCUAGCCACAGAAAUGCAUUUUUGUGGUGGCAUAUUUGUCGCAUGUUAAAAAGUUAACUCAGAAUAUAUAAUGAAACUAUAAGGAUCCAACAUAUUUUUAAUAAACUUGUAGUGGUAUUGACACAGGUAGUUCUAGAGUGGGUCUUUGCCAAUGAGAUGAAGAACAUGAUCAGAUGGAGUGUGAGAUUCAUCAUUCUUAAGUAAGGAUUGUCUCAAUUUAGACCAAUGCAAACAUGGACUGGUGCUGCUAUAGAAUUUACAACUAUUUAUUGCCGUUAUAAUAAGCUGUCGGGUUGCUACAUAAAAUAUUAUGAUUUUCGAUCAGACCAGAACUUUUUCAACUAGAUGUUUUUCACUUGUCACCCUUAACCUGC
rnacentral:lncRNA from 1 species